UUUUAUAAGAAUAUGAUGUUGGUUCAGAUUAAGCGCUAAAUAAGGACAUGACACAUGCGAAUCAUACGUUUAUUAUUGAUAAGAUAAUAAAUAUGUGGUGUAAACGUGAGUAAUUUUAUUAGGAAUUAAUGAACUAUAGAAUAAGCUAAAUACUUAAUAUAUUAUUAUAUAAAAAUAAUUUAUAUAAUAAAAAGGAUAUAUAUAUAAUAUAUAUUUAUCUAUAGUCAAGCCAAUAAUGGUUUAGGUAGUAGGUUUAUUAAGAGUUAAACCUAGCCAACGAUCCAUAAUCGAUAAUGAAAGUUAGAACGAUCACGUUGACUCUGAAAUAUAGUCAAUAUCUAUAAGAUACAGCAGUGAGGAAUAUUGGACAAUGAUCGAAAGAUUGAUCCAGUUACUUAUUAGGAUGAUAUAUAAAAAUAUUUUAUUUUAUUUAGUUCCGGGGCCCGGCCACGGGAGCCGGAACCCCGAAAGGAGAAAUAUUAAAUAUUUAUAAUAAUAAUAAUAAUAAUAUAUAUAUAUAAAUUGAUUAAAAAUAAAAUCCAUAAAUAAUUAAAAUAAUGAUAUUAAUUACCAUAUAUAUUUUUAUAUGGAUAUAUAUAUUAAUAAUAAUAUUAAUUUUAUUAUUAUUAAUAAUAUAUUUUAAUAGUCCUGACUAAUAUUUGUGCCAGCAGUCGCGGUAACACAAAGAGGGCGAGCGUUAAUCAUAAUGGUUUAAAGGAUCCGUAGAAUGAAUUAUAUAUUAUAAUUUAGAGUUAAUAAAUAUAAUUAAAGAAUUAUAAUAGUAAAGAUGAAAUAAUAAUAAUAAUUAUAAGACUAAUAUAUGUGAAAAUAUUAAUUAAAUAUUAACUGACAUUGAGGGAUUAAAACUAGAGUAGCGAAACGGAUUCGAUACCCGUGUAGUUCUAGUAGUAAACUAUGAAUACAAUUAUUUAUAAUAUAUAUUAUAUAUAAAUAAUAAAUGAAAAUGAAAGUAUUCCACCUGAAGAGUACGUUAGCAAUAAUGAAACUCAAAACAAUAGACGGUUACAGACUUAAGCAGUGGAGCAUGUUAUUUAAUUCGAUAAUCCACGACUAACCUUACCAUAUUUUGAAUAUUAUAAUAAUUAUUAUAAUUAUUAUAUUACAGGCGUUACAUUGUUGUCUUUAGUUCGUGCUGCAAAGUUUUAGAUUAAGUUCAUAAACGAACAAAACUCCAUAUAUAUAAUUUUAAUUAUAUAUAAUUUUAUAUUAUUUAUUAAUAUAAAGAAAGGAAUUAAGACAAAUCAUAAUGAUCCUUAUAAUAUGGGUAAUAGACGUGCUAUAAUAAAAUGAUAAUAAAAUUAUAUAAAAUAUAUUUAAUUAUAUUUAAUUAAUAAUAUAAAACAUUUUAAUUUUUAAUAUAUUUUUUUAUUAUAUAUUAAUAUGAAUUAUAAUCUGAAAUUCGAUUAUAUGAAAAAAGAAUUGCUAGUAAUACGUAAAUUAGUAUGUUACGGUGAAUAUUCUAACUGUUUCGCACUAAUCACUCAUCACGCGUUGAAACAUAUUAUUAUCUUAUUAUUUAUAUAAUAUUUUUUAAUAAAUAUUAAUAAUUAUUAAUUUAUAUUUAUUUAUAUCAGAAAUAAUAUGAAUUAAUGCGAAGUUGAAAUACAGUUACCGUAGGGGAACCUGCGGUGGGCUUAUAAAUAUC
rnacentral:ncRNA from 1 species